AAAUUUAGGUUAACUACAAACCAAGAGCCUUCAAAGUUCUAAAUAUGAGUACAACCCUCAU
rnacentral:tRNA from 1 species